rnacentral:lncRNA from 1 species
UUUCUUUUCCCUCUUUAAACAGUCAUCCAGUUUUGGAUUUUUCUUCCUUAUUCCUAACUCUCAAAGUCAUUGUAUUUUAUUUCUUUUGGGUUUAUUUCUCUAAGAUGUUUCCAAUGUCAGUUUUAUUUAAACAAAUAAGAAAGGAUUUCAAAGCACAUUAUCAACUUCCAAAUUGCACAAAGCAUAGUGCGUCCAGAGCAUGCCAGAGAUAGUAUGAUGUAAAGUGGGACAGAAAGUGGUAGUGAAAGUUCCAUCGGUGGGAUGGUGUAGUAAUUUUGUGGGAGAUUCAGAGGUUCAGAUAGAAGGGUCGGAAAUGUAAAAUGACGGUUUGAGUAUAGAGCACUUGGGUCAUCCAAAGUCCUGUGGUUGAGGAUCAGUCAGAAAGUCAAAACUUGGUCAGUUCAAGGCCGCCAGUCAAAGAAAAACACGGCAAGGGAAGAGCCACCUUCAGCAAGAAUGCCACAAACUAACCACCACAUUUUUAAACUAACAAGAUUUUUCUUUGAUUUGAAACAGGGGCAGAAAAUUUUGUUCGUUUCAUAGAAACCCUUCAUAAGGGAAAGGAAAUACCAAACAGGUUUGACCAUAAAUUCUUAGGACCCUCCUGGAUAAUGGGACCUAAUUUAAAUUCAGAACAUUCAUGAGUAACAAGAUCUAACAUAAGUCUUACCCCAAAGAAAUAAAGUUGGCUUUGAAGUUUUCAUCCUUAGGAUAGGAUUCAAUUCGAAAUUUUCAGGAUCCUCCUGAAUAAUGGGACCUAGCUUUAAGACUUCCAUUAGAUGACAAGAUUUAGCUUAAGUUCUACUGUAAGGAAGUAUAAUUUAGCGUUAAAGUUGUCACUCUUAAGAUGAGAUUUGGUUUUAACUUUCAGGACCCUCUUGGAAAAUGGAAUGUAGUUCUAAGACUUUCUUAGAUAACAAGAUUUAGCAGAAGUCAUAUCUUUAGAAGAUAUAAUUUAGCUUUAAAACUGUCAUUUUACUAGGAGUUUUUAGGACCUUUCUGAAUAAUGGGAUCUAGCUUUCAAAUUAUUAGAGAUAUUUGGUAACAUGAUUCAAUUAACACUCACAGAUGUGCCCAGCUACCAAACUGGGGCAAAAGCUUUUCUUUAUUUUGUCUACUUUGUUGAAAUAGGCACCCACCUGGAGAACAAAGGGAAAACAAAUCAAAUUCCAAGGAAAGCGGAUCAGGUUCAAGCAAUCAGGAGCCCACCUGGAGAACAAAGNNNNNNNNNNNNNNNNNNNAACAAAGGGAAGCAGUUCAAGUUUCGAGGAAAAGCAACGCAAGUCUCGGUAAUCAGGAGCCCACCUGGAGAAUGAAUGGAAACAACAAUGUUCAAAGGAAGUGCGGAAAUCAGGAGCCCACCUGGAGAACAAACGGAGAACAAGGAAAGUUUCGGAGGAAAGAAAGAGAAUCAAAUGUUGGAAAUCAGGAGCUCACCUGGAGAACAAAGGGAAGGUAACAGAGGUCAAAGGAAGACGGUUCAAGUUCAGCAAUCAAGCACUCACUUGGAGAAAAGGGAAAGCAUUUCAAAUUACAAUUCAAGUCAUCAACAAAGGAAUUUCACCUGGAGAGUACGAGUCAACAGAGCAAUAGGGAUUGCAAGAUCAAGUUUGAAGAUAUAGAUAGGAUUCUCGUAAUGCAUAGAUCAUAGUUUAGUCUAGAUUCUUUUAUUUUAUCUUGGUGUAAUAAGGAGUUCAGUAAGCAGUAGCAGCAGCAGCAACAGUGAAAUCUCAGCUUCCUGGUAGUCCCAACUACCGAAACUUUCUGAACUACACCGACCUGAUUCCUUUAUAGCCAAGAGUAUGUAGGCAAUCUCGGAAGCAGGGUGCGGUCAAAUCUUUCAAAAAUACUUCCCACGGAGUAUUCAAACGGGCAAAAAUCGCUCGUAUCCGCUCACUUUGUCUUUGCAUGAAAACUCUGCGUGUUUCCGGGCAAAGAGGGGCAGCUAUGAGCACGUGAUUUUUUUCCUAUAUGAAUUACUCCCAUAAAUUCAAGAAAAAUAAAUUUUUCCCAUUAUUCACAAUUUCGUAGAUUUUAGUAGCAUUUUGUUAAUUGUUUUCAUUUGUCUGUACAUGUUUAAUUUUACUUAAUUCAUGAAAAUACAAAAAUAUAUUGCAUUUGCAUUUAGGAUUUAAUUUUACAUUUUUAGGUUAAUUAGCAAUUUAGUUGUCUUAUAAAAAUGAUUAAAAUCACAAAAAUAAUUCUUUUUUCAUAUGUAACUUUUCAUUUUGAAUUUUAUAGUUUUUCUUUUUAUUUAGGAUUUAAUUAAUUAUUGAAAAUACUAUGUUGAGUGAUUAGUUUAAUUUGGUAAGUUAUUUUAAUGUAAGAGUUAUUUUAGUUUAAUUUAAAAAAGGAAAAGAAAAAAAGAAGAAGAAGAAAGACAAUUGAAUUGAAAAGAAAGGAAAAUAAAAUAAAAGGGCUGAUUGAUUUUGGGCCACUGAUAUCGCAGCUCUAAUGAUUUCCCCUUCCAAACCCAUUCAGGUCGGCCCACUCUCCACCCCAAUACCCGGUCCAACCCCGCAAAUUCACACGGCAUUGUUCCGUGAAAUGAAAGAUCUGAGCCGUUGAUCUCUUUCAAUCCAACGGCCAAGGAACGCCCCUCUCCCUUUGUUAUAAUUGUCCAAACUUCAGAGAGUACCUCGUAUCUCUACACUUCAUCUCCUCAAUCUCUCUCAUCUCUAACCCUACACCCACCGCCCUGAAUUUCUUCACCAUCUCCAACCGGCAGUGGAGCUCAAACUACUACCAAAAUCUAAUCACAUAACCACCACUCAUCCCUGAGUCCCAAUCCACCACCACAUAUCCUCAAAUCCCUACCAAAUCGGGUCAGAUUCAAAUCUAAAAGAAGAAGAAGAAAAAGAAAAUCUCCCCAAGUUCUCAAGUUAAUGAUUAGGUCUAAAAUCGGUAUUGAUCGUCUGUUCUCAACGAGAACACGUGACUGAUGCCAAUUUCGAGUCAAAUUGAAGUCGCCUGAGGUUUGCCAAGCCUUGUCCAUGUGACCAUUUAGGUAUUUCUGUUC